GACGUAGGGCGCGAGCGUUGUCCGGAUUUAUUGGGCGUAAAGAGCUCGUAGGCGGCUUGUCGCGUCGACCGUGAAAACUUGGGGCUCAACCCCAAGCCUGCGGUCGAUACGGGCAGGCUAGAGUUCGGUAGGGGAGACUGGAAUUCCUGGUGUAGCGGUGAAAUGCGCAGAUAUCAGGAGGAAUACCGAUGGCGAAGGCAGGUCUCUGGGCUGACACUGACGCUCAUGCACGAAAGCGUGGGGAGCAAACAGG
rnacentral:rRNA from 1 species